GAGUUUGAUCGUGGCUCAGAUUGAACGCUGGCGGCAGGCCUAACACAUGCAAGUCGAACGGUAACAGGAAACAGCUUGCUGUUUCGCUGACGAGUGGCGGACGGGUGAGUAAUGUCUGGGAAACUGCCUGAUGGAGGGGAUAACUACUGGAAACGGUAGCUAAUACCGCAUAACGUCGCAAGACCAAAGAGGGGGACCUUCGGGCCUCUUGCCAUCGGAUGUGCCCAGAUGGGAUUAGCUAGUAGGUGGGGUAACGGCGUCACCUAGGCGACGAUCCCUAGCUGGUCUGGGAGGAUGACCAGCCACACUGGAACUGAGACACGGUCCAGACUCCUACGGGAGGCAGCAGUGGGGAAUAUUGCACAAUGGGCGCAAGCCUGAUGCAGCCAUGCCGCGUGUAUGAAGAAGGCCUUCGGGUUG
rnacentral:rRNA from 1 species